AUGGCGCACAUGACCAUCUCACUCUUGGAGAUCGUCAGCAUAGCGGUCACGGCCGCGGCGCUCGCCACCGGUGGAGCUGCUUCACCUCCCGCUCCGGCACCGAUGGAGAUGCCGGGCUGCCACACCAUCUGCGGCAACAUCAGUGUGCCGUAUCCGUUCGGCAUGGGGCCGGCCAGGUGCUACUGGCCGGGGUUCAACCUCACCUGCGAGAAUACUACGACCCCGCCGCGGCUGCUGCUCCGCGGCGCCGGCGGAGACAUCCUCCAGGUGGACCAUUUCAGCCUUCGCGAGUCGUCGGUGCUCGUCGAACGCACCCCGGGCGACGUAAAGAUCGACGGUGACGGCAACGGCUCAAUAUUCUCCGGAGGGCCUGACCACGGGACCUACAGCAUCAUGCUAUCAGACGACUGGGGAGGCGAAGGGAACGAACUCAUCCUGCUGGGAUGCGACGUGCGAGUGACGCUGAAACACGGCAACGCCACACUCAGCGCCUGCUCCACCCUGUGCGGCGACGAUCAACCCCAUCAGCCCAUGUGGUACGUGCCGUCCAGGCUCGAGACCAGCACGGUGUGCGCCGGCGUCGGCUGCUGCCAGGCGCCCAUCGUCUCCGCGGCGGCAGUGGUCGGGAACGUGCGGGUGCAGCUCGAGUGGUUCGGCCGGAACCGCAGCGCCGACGAGGAGCGGAUGCCCACGCGCGUGUUCGUCGCCGACCAUGGUUGGUUCGAGAAGAAACAGGUUUCCGAGCCGCUGCUGCUUCGGAAGCCGUCGGCUAGGGGAACAACGGGUAUCCCCGUGGACGGAGUUCCCGUGUGGCCGAGCUGGGAGGUCGACACCAACAUUUCUUCUUCCCAUGGCCAUGGCCACGUCGUGUGCGAUGAGGGUACACGAGGAGGAUAUACAUGCCGCUGCGAGAGUAACUACGAAGGCAACCCCUAUAUACCCGACGGAUGCCAAGAUAUCGACGAGUGUGGGCUUCAUCCGUGCCAUGAUGGUGGUGUUUGUACCAAUAGAGAUGGAGGGUUUGACUGCGGUUGCCCACCAGGAACCCAUGGUGACAAGGCCUUACCCGGUGGUUGCAUCCCUUUUGUCUCCGUCACAGAAACGGAAGGCAGUACAUGUGAAAGGACAUGUGGAGAUGUGGAUAUACCGUACCCAUUCGGCAUCGGUCCGUCCCACUGCUACCGGCCAGGCUUCAACCUUACAUGCGACUAUCCAAGCGGCAAGCCUCCGCGACUAUUAUUGGAUAGCUACGGCGUCUUCCAGAUUCAAGAGAUCUUCCUCCCAAACACCACAUUACAUGUUACUAGCUCUGUCGUUGCCAUUGAAGCUGCCUCCAACAAUAACUUCGGUUUUGAUUUUAACAAUUAUUUCACAAGCCGUGGGGAUGUGCUCUACUCGUUGUCCACCCGCAAUGAGCUCAUCCUCUCAGGGUGCAACGUUCAGGCAACGCUACUUGGGCAUGACAGUGAUGCAUCCAUCAUCAGCGGUUGCACUAGCUUCUGCUCCGAGGGAGAUGUCGGCGCUGGGAGGGUGCCGUUUGCAAGCAACAAGAACUGCUACAGCAUGGGUUGCUGCCAGGCACGCAUUUCCGAGCCCGUGGAGGGAGGCUUGCCUGGUUUGCUCACCCUCGAGUAUACUGACCCCAACAACUUCCAGGCGAACAUGUCACGACCCUCGUAUGCCCUAAUAGCGAAGGAGGGGUGGUUCGACAACCGCCUUGUCUCCGACCAACAAAUGCAGGCGCUUCAAAACAAGUUGAAAUUUGCGCCGUUAGUUCCUAUUGUUAUAGAAUGGAAGAUGUUGCCAUCAGAAUCAUUAAUCUUACAAGAUGUUGAUCAUGUGAAGUCAUCAUCGGACCUAAAUUGCCCUAGGGAGGUUGCUAUUGACAUCUGCAAGAGCAAGCAUAGUAGAUACAUACCAGCUGGGAUGAACAAACGCUAUUAUUGCCAGUGUCGGGAAGGCUACCACGACAACCCCUACAAAACCCAUGGAUGCAAAGGUGAGCAACCAUGUAUGCAGGACAUUGUUUUCCUUCUCAGAUGAUGAUAAGUAUGAUCGCUGCCAUUGUAGAGGUUGUGUGUGGAGCGGGUCUAGUUUUUUCGAUAUGACUUCAUACAUUGUUUCAAAGAAACUGAAACAUCAGAGAGCAUAUAUGUUAAAACGGAAGUUCUUUGAGCAAAAUCAUGGACAAUUACUGGAACAAUUGGUAUCUCAAAGAUCUGGUAUUGCGGAAAGGAUGAUCAUUACCUUGGAAGAGCUAAAGAAGGCAACACAUAAUUUUAAUAAAGAUCUUGUGGUUGGCGGUGGAGGGCAUGGUACUGUUUACAAAGGGAUUUUAUCAAACCAACAUAUUGUAGCCAUCAAGAAACCAAAAAGGGUGGUUCCGAAGGAGAUUGAUGAGUUUAUAAAUGAGGUUGCCAUCUUAUCACAAAUCAACCACAGGAAUGUGGUAAAACUCUUUGGUUGCUGCCUUGAAACUGAAGUCCCAAUGUUAGUCUAUGAUUUCAUAUCCAAUGGAACACUUUAUGAGCAUCUUCAUGUCGAAGGACCAAGAUUGUUAUCAUGGGGCCACAGACUGCGUAUAGCCAUUCAAACAUCAAAAUCUCUGGCAUAUCUUCAUUCAGCCACUGCAAUACCUAUCAUCCAUAGAGAUGUAAAGUCUGCUAACAUACUUUUGGAUGAUACUCUAACAGCAAAGGUAGCAGACUUUGGAGCAUCAAGGUACAUUCCCAUGGAGAAAUCUGGCUUGGAAACAAGGGCUCAAGGUACAAGAGGAUACUGGGACCCUAUGUACUUUUACACUGGACGCCUCACGGAGAAAAGUGAUGUUUACAGUUUUGGAGUUGUCCUUGUGGAACUGCUAACCAGGCAGAAACCGUUUUCAUAUUUGUCCUCAAAUGAUGAGAGUCUUGUUGUACAUUUUGUUACUUUGUUUGUGGAAGGGAAUUUGCUCCAUAUAUUAGACCCACAAGUUAUCGAGGAAGGAGGCAAAGAAGUCGAAGAAGUGGCUGCUAUUGCCGUAGCAUGUGUAAAAUUAAGUGAAGAGGAUCGUCCAACCAUGAGGCAAGUGGAGUUGACACUAGAAGGCGUUCGUACAUCUGAGGGGCGUGUUUUACAUAAUGCGGUGGCUAAGCAAGUUUACAAUAAUGGUAUCGAAGUAGGGGUUCAAUCUAAUAAAUCAGUUAGAGAAGGUAACGAGGGGUCAACAAGACGGUAUAGUAUGGAAGAAGAGUUCAUACUAUCUGCAAGUUGUCCUCGGUAG
rnacentral:rRNA from 1 species